rnacentral:sRNA from 1 species
CCGCGGGCGGUCGGGCUCUGAGCCGGGCGGAUCCGGAGGGCAGCAGCCGAGGGAGCUCGGAGGGGGCCGGGCUUCUGAGGGAGGCUUGGACCAGAAGGGUUAUCCUCCUAGGCAAAGAGGACUUUUGUGAAAGAUGGGAGCACUCCGGGGUGCUCCGUGGAAGGUGAGCCUCCAAGGAGCACGUGUCCCGCCCCUUUCAGCUCCACUUCCUUCGGCAGGUGUGCCCCAGAGAGCCUGCGCCACGGAGCCUUCUCGUCUGCCUCGGACGUGUGGAUGUUUGGGGUGACGCUGUGGGAGAUGUUCUCCGGAGGCGAGGAACCCUGGGCCGGGGUCCCACCGUACCUCAUCCUGCAGCGGCUGGAGGAGAGAGCCCGGCUGCCUAGGCCUCCCCUCUGCUCCAGGGCCCUCUACUCCCUCGCCUUGCGCUGCUGGGCCCCCCACCCUGCCGACCGGCCUAGCUUUUCCCACCUGGAGGGGCUGCUGCAAGAGGCCGGGCCUUCGGAAGGAUGUUGUGUGAGGGAUGUCACAGAGCCAGGCGCCCUGAGGAUGGAGACUGGUGACCCCAUCACAGUCAUCGAGGGCAG